rnacentral:rRNA from 1 species
UUCAACAUGUACGCGAGUCGUUGGGUGUACUGAUAUACCUGAAGGCUUAGUGAAAGCAAUAUUUAUAUAUAUGGCAAGAUCUUAAACUUUUGUUUGUAAGUUUGAGCGCAUUGCCGGCCCGUACUUACUUGUUAGGUGCGGAGUUUGAGCGUACACGUUAAGACCCGAAAGAUGGUGAACUAUGCCUGAGCAGGAUGAAGCCAGGGGAAACUCUGGUGGAAGUCCGUAGCGAUUCUGACGUGCAAAUCGAUCGUCUGACUUGGGUAUAGGGGCGAAAGACUAAUCGAACUAUCUAAUAGCUGGUUCCCUCCGAAGUUUCCCUCAGGAUAGCUGGCGCAUUUUGACGGCAGUCUCUCCCGGUAAAGCGAAUGAUUAGAGGUCUUGGGAUCGAAACGAUCUCAACCUAUUCUCAAACUAUAAAUAGGUGAGAAGUUUGGCUUACUUAUAUUGUGAAGUCCAAACUGUUUUUACGGAUGCCUAUGUGCCAAGUGGGCCAUUUUUGGUAAGCAGAACUGGCGCUGUGGGAUGAACCGAACGCUGAGUUACGGCGCCCGAGAGUGACGCUCAUCAGACCCCACAAAAGGUGUUGGUUGCUAUAGACAGCAG